GUCCUCGCUUUGGCAGCAUAUAUAAUAAAAUUGGAAUGAGAAGAUCAGGACAGCCCCUGCACAAAGAUGACAUGCACCUUCAUGAAGCAUUCCAUAUUUUU
ensembl:snRNA U6 U6 spliceosomal RNA